UACGGAGGGGGCUAGCGUUGUUCGGAAUUACUGGGCGUAAAGCGUCCGUAGGCGGCUUUUUAAGUCAGAGGUGAAAGCCCACGACUCAAUCGUGGAACUGCCUUUGAGACUGGAUCGCUUGAAGAUGGGAGAGGUUAGUGGAAUUCCGAGUGUAGAGGUGAAAUUCGUAGAUAUUCGGAAGAACACCAGUGGCGAAGGCGGCUAACUGGACCAUUCUUGACGCUGAGGGACGAAAGCGUGGGGAGCAAACAGG
rnacentral:rRNA from 1 species